rnacentral:rRNA from 1 species
GGGGGUUUCCGGGAUUAUUGGGCGUAAAGAGCUCGUAGGCGGUUUGUCGCGUCUGCCGUGAAAGUCCGGGGCUCAACUCCGGAUCUGCGGUGGGUACGGGCAGACUAGAGUGAUGUAGGGGAGACUGGAAUUCCUGGUGUAGCGGUGAAAUGCGCAGAUAUCAGGAGGAACACCGAUGGCGAAGGCAGGUCUCUGGGCACUAACUGACGCUGAGGAGCGAAAGCAUGGGGAGCGAACAGGAUUAGAUACCCUGGUAGUCCAUGCCGUAAACGUUGGGCACUAGGUGUGGGGGACAUUCCACGUUUUCCGCGCCGUAGCUAACGCAUUAAGUGCCCCGCCUGGGGAGUACGGCCGCAAGGCUAAAACUCAAAGGAAUUGACGGGGGCCCGCACAAGCGGCGGAGCAUGCGGAUUAAUUCGAUGCAACGCGAAGAACCUUACCAAGGCUUGACAUGGACCGGUAAGACCUGGAAACAGGUCCCCCACUUGUGGCCGGUUUACAGGUGGUGCAUGGUUGUCGUCAGCUCGUGUCGUGAGAUGUUGGGUUAAGUCCCGCAACGAGCGCAACCCUCGUUCCAUGUUGCCAGCACGUGAUGGUGGGGACUCAUAGGAGACUGCCGGGGUCAACUCGGAGGAAGGUGGGGACGACGUCAAAUCAUCAUGCCCCUUAUGUCUUGGGCUUCACGCAUGCUACAAUGGCCGGUACAAAGGGUUGCGAUACUGUGAGGUGGAGCUAAUCCCAAAAAGCCGGUCUCAGUUCGGAUUGGGGUCUGCAACUCGACCCCAUGAAGUCGGAGUCGCUAGUAAUCGCAGAUCAGCAACGCUGCGGUGAAUACGUUCCCGGGCCUUGUACACACCGCCCGUCAAGUCACGAAAGUUGGUAACACCCGAAGCCGGUGGCCUAACCCCUUGUGGGAGGGAGCUGUCGAAGGUGGGACUGGCGAUUGGACUAAGUCGUAACAAGGUAACC